UACGGAGGGUGCAAGCGUUAUUCGGAAUUAUUGGGCGUAAAGGGCGCGUAGGCGGCUUUUCAAGUGACGGGUGAAAUCCCUCGGCUUAACCGAGGAACUGCCUGUCAGACUGGAAGGCUUGAGACCGGGAGAGGUGAGUGGAAUUCCCAGUGUAGCGGUGAAAUGCGUAGAUAUUGGGAGGAACACCAGUGGCGAAGGCGGCUCACUGGACCGGAACUGACGCUGAGGCGCGAAAGCGUGGGGAGCGAACAGG
rnacentral:rRNA from 1 species